rnacentral:rRNA from 1 species
CCUACAGGGUGCUGCAGUGGGGAAUAUUGGACAAUGGGCGAAAGCCUGAUCCAGCCAUGCCGCGUGUGUGAAGAAGGCCUUCGGGUUGUAAAGCACUUUCAGUGGGGAAGAAAGCCUUGGGGCUAAUACCCUCGAGGAAGGACAUCACCCACAGAAGAAGCACCGGCUAACUCCGUGCCAGCAGCCGCGGUAAUACGGAGGGUGCGAGCGUUAAUCGGAAUUACUGGGCGUAAAGCGCGCGUAGGCGGUCUGAUAAGCCGGUUGUGAAAGCCCCGGGCUCAACCUGGGAACGGCAUCCGGAACUGUCAGGCUAGAGUGCAGGAGAGGAAGGUAGAAUUCCCGGUGUAGCGGUGAAAUGCGUAGAGAUCGGGAGGAAUACCAGUGGCGAAGGCGGCCUUCUGGACUGACACUGACGCUGAGGUGCGAAAGCGUGGGUAGCAAACAGGAUUAGAUACCCCAGUAGUC